UACGUAGGGUGCGAGCGUUGUCCGGAAUUAUUGGGCGUAAAGAGCUUGUAGGCGGUUUGUCGCGUCUGCCGUGAAAAUCCGGGGCUCAACCCCGGACUGCGGUGGGUACGGGCAGACUAGAGUGUGGUAGGGGAGACUGGAAUUCCUGGUGUAGCGGUGAAAUGCGCAGAUAUCAGGAGGAACACCGAUGGCGAAGGCAGGUCUCUGGGCCACUACUGACGCUGAGAAGCGAAAGCGUGGGGAGCGAACAGG
rnacentral:rRNA from 1 species